rnacentral:rRNA from 1 species
AGAGUUUGAUUCUGGCUCAGGAUGAACGCUAGCGGCAGGCUUAACACAUGCAAGUCGAGGGGCAGCGGGAUGUAGCAAUACAUGCCGGCGACCGGCGGAUGGGUGCGUAACGCGUAUGCAACCUACCUUAUACAGGGGAAUAACCUUUCGAAAGGGAGACUAACACCCCAUAGUAUUGAUUUAAGGCAUCUUAGAUUAAUUAAAUAUUUAUAGGUAUAAGAUGGGCAUGCGUAUGAUUAGCUAGUUGGUAAGGUAACGGCUUACCAAGGCGACGAUCAUUAGGGGUUCUGAGAGGAAGGUCCCCCACACUGGUACUGAGACACGGACCAGACUCCUACGGGAGGCAGCAGUGAGGAAUAUUGGUCAAUGGGCGCAAGCCUGAACCAGCCAUGCCGCGUGCAGGAAGACGGCCUUAUGGGUUGUAAACUGCUUUUACAUAAGACUAACCGUAUAUUUGCGAAUAUACCUGAAUGUAUUAUGAGAAUAAGGAUCGGCUAACUCCGUGCCAGCCGCGGC